UAGGAAUUGCUGGUGCAAUACGAGAAAAAGCCUCCAUACCGACAGUACUGUCCUUGUCUACCUUAAGUGCAGGUUGGCUUGCAGCAGCAGGUGCUUCCCAGGAUAGCAUCAUAUCAAAGGUUAGGCGGCGAAACUUUGGAUCACCCAGGUGACCUGUGACUUGAGUACAGAUAGCAAGUGCCCUGAAACAACAAUACUCCAAGAAAUUUCUUGCGUAGUUGGAUGGUCUCUUGAUAGAAUCAGAUGCCUCUGCGUCAAAAUUAUUUUGAAGUUCCUCCAUAGAAACAUCAAGAAUUCGAG
rnacentral:misc_RNA from 1 species